rnacentral:lncRNA from 1 species
CUCUUAUGUUGUCAGGAACAUUUCCAGCCUGGGAUCCAGGAGCAGAGCGCCUGACAUGUGCAGCCCAAUUUUCUUUCUUUUUCAGCCAUAUAAAUUGCAGACAUGACCUGAAAUAUCGCAUCAUCCCUCAGCAAAUGGGCACCAAGUUGCUCAAUUGUUACUCUGCUCAAUAGGUUACUCUGCUCUCAAAACAAGGCAGAAUAGGGGCCAUCAGAGGUGUUCCCCCUGCUCUGCAUGCUAACAUAGUUUUGCCUCUGGCUGGAAAGGAAAUUAUUAUCUACUUCAUACCUUCAGAUGAAUGUGGAGCAACAGGACCAGAAUAGGCUUCAUUAGAUAGGUCUUCCCUAGGUAUUUACAGUAUGGGUGUCUCCUGAAGUUGUUGUCUGGCUUGGGGUUUGGUUAAUCAUCACAGGAGGAAGGGGCAUAGAAUGAUUGAGGAAUUCCAUGUCACAUGCAGCAGUGACAAAAUCUGUUUCAACUGUGCUGGGGGAUUUUGUGGUGGAGACUAAUGAGGGGGAACAUUCAUUUCUCAUGCUUUCCCCUGUAGAUGUGAUCCUUAGAGAGGACUGUGUGAUUUUAGUCAGUAAAGCAUCUGUUAGUGUUAGCAUCUAGUGAUGCUUCCUCCUGGUGCAGGUCUAUGGUAGAAGCUGGAGUUCCCAAAAGUUCAGCUCCUGCUAUGUUUAUCUAAGAUGAAUCCACAUGGUUGUGCAGAUAACCCUGAACACACCGUGAUGUGAUGAUGGAGAGGAGGUGGUUUGCCCAGUCCUACCCUGUCUGUGAUCCUGAUCUGCUGUAGGAUCUGUGGGAGGAUGUGCUGGUGAGGGCCUCGUCUGGGUAUUGUUAAUGAUAUGAACGGAAAAAUGAGUCUUACCUCCAGAGGAUCUGACCCACAACAUUGUGCCAACAGUCCCCAGAUGUUGAUUGCUUAAUAGGCUUUUGGAUACCAGGUGUAUUAGGAAGUUUACGGUUGACUUUCCAUGCUCAUUCAAGUUCUAACCAAGCACGAGAGCCUUAUUUUCCACUUUUCAGUCCAAAAUCUCACCCAUCGUACAGCUGUGCGCCUCCCAAUUCAGCCAGAGCAUCCCAUCAGCAUCAAUCAUAAUAUCAGGAAUGUGUGUGGAUUAAUAAAAGCAAACGGGAAUAAGCAUCUGUUCUCUCUGCCUGUGGAUCACUUCUCUCAUGUAAAGCCUGAUGAAGACAUAUGUGUCAAGGUCAGAAAUGAGGAUGAACUUGUAUUUUUCAGCUUAAAAAAGAAACAACCAAAAAACCCACAACAUCAAGAAGCUGUAAAAGAGAGAAUAGCAUGAAGUUAUAGUGGGGAUGGGUAGUGCGCUUUUAUUGUGAGUAUUUAUGGUGUAAAGAAGAGUCAACUGUAGUGUUCUAAUGCAUUAAUUGCUUGUUAGUCAUUAGGUUUAUGCAUUUUUUGCCAGGAAAGAAAGAAGAUAUUUGGAUGAAAAGUGACCUAUUUGGAAUAGCAGGAAGACUAGAUGUUUAGAAAAGGGGAGGGUGAAUACGAUGUGACUGAAACAUAAAAAUAGAGAGUUCCAACCAAAACAAAGUGUGCAGUUAUCAAUGGGGCCCUGAGAUGGUUGUUGGUCAAAACCAGGCUUGCACAAACAUUAUCUGCCUUUGGAGUUCUUGGAGGUGAUAUGGCUGCAAGGUGUGGAGGCCUUUGAGGUGGUACAACCCAGGAGUGUGCUGGAUUGCUCAUCUGCUGCUUGCAAGGCUGUGAAAAGAACCAUCCUUGGAGGGAGGAAAGAUAUUUCUCCAAUACUUAUCAUGUAUAAGAAAACACUUCUUACUUUCCUUCUGUGAAAGGAUGUAUGUCUCUGAUGGUCUCCACGGACAGUGUGGGCUGAAUUUCAUCCUCUUUCAUCUGGGUCCUGGAGUUGUUCUCAGCCCCGCUCCCUCCACCUCUGCACCUGAUGUCCUUGCCAAGCACACUGGGAAGAGGCUCUAGCCCAGAGCACAGCAGCAUACACCCCAAAGGUAGGUAGUUGUGGAUGCGGAUGAUGAGCUGCCUGGGUGCUUCCCUUCUGCUCCUGCCUGAGAUGUGAAGAUCAUUCCCCCCAUCAUAGAGCAGCACGUAUUGUUUGUCCCCAUGUAUCUUCCUAACCCUAGGAUCUGUGGCAGCCAAGUGAGACACAGUCUGUCCAUCUGAGAGAUCCAGCAGAAAUAAUCUGGCCUAUGGGGAUCAGUGUUCUGCUGCUAUCCCAGCACACGCUUCAUCAGCUGGUGACCAAGCUUUGCUUUGCAUACAUAUGAAAAAUUAACCUGAGCCAGCAGGAUGCUUGCUUGCCUUCCAGA